CCUGGCGACUUAAUGAAGCUCUACUGCUAGACCUGGACAUCAAGGAACAAACUCAACAAGCAUUAGAACAAUACUUUAGGGAAAAUGACUCCCCGGAGACCUCCCCAAUAUCCAUAUGGGUAGCCCACAAGAGUGUGAUACGUGGUGUACUCAUACGUAUUGCCUCCCGGAAACGGAAGGCAUUCAUGCAUGAAAUGGUCGAUUUAUAUCAAUCGAUAUCGACC